AACAAGGAGGGCGACUCGUUCUCAGCGCGCCCCGCGCAUGAACCCGGCCACCCUCCCCAAGAGACUGAGGCGCAGAGGCUUCCGGACUCGCCCCAGUCACACAGCUGCCGGGGAAACCGAGGCAUGGAGCUGCAGCGCGAGGCCCGAGAGGAGGAAGGGAGGGGGUGGGGGAGCGGCGGGGAGCACCUUGUACAGCGCGGCGGUGAUGACAGCCAGGAGCAUCAGCCCCCCGACAGAGCUGCCCACGAUGAGCGGCAGGGGGUUGGGGACCUCGAACGGCUCCACUUUGGUCUCCGUCUGGGGGAGAAAGGAGGGUCGUCAGGGGAGACCACUCCGGAUUUCUGGGGGUUCCCCAUUCACACCGUGUACACCCCUGAAUCAAGUGGGGAACCCCUCCUCAUGUGCCCCAGGACCCCAGCCCUCAGUCCUCCUCCCCCACCUCUUCUCCCUCCUCUCCCUCCUCCGUUUCUCUGUCCUCUAUCUCUAUCUCUUUCUGCCUCUCUCUGUCUCUCUAUCUCCAUCUCUCACUGUCUCUGUCUCUGUCGCGCUCUGUAUCUCUUUAUCUCUCUGUCUCUCUCCAUCUCUCACUGUCUCUGUUUCUAUCUCUAUCUCUCUAUCUCUCUCUCCUUUGUGUCUGUCUCUGUAUCUGUUUCUCCCUCUGUCUCUAUCUCUCUGUCUCUGUCUCUCUCCUUACGUCUCUCUAUCUCUCUGUCUCUCUCUCCCUCUCUCUUUGUGUCUCUCUCCUCCCCCCGAAAUCUCCACAAGCCCAGCCCCUCUCCCUGCAAUAGUUCCUCAGCGCCCAAGACAGUUACCUGGGCCUUCACAAACGCCCCCUGUCCCGGCAGCAGGGUGAACGUGGAAUCGUUAAACAAGAUCUCAGCUGUGCUCACGACCAGGAGGUGGUUAUGCGAGGUCUGUGGAAGAGCGUGUGGGCACUGCACCUGGGCCCUGAGCACCACUCCUGUGCCCGGCGAAGCCUCAGGACCCCACACACCUUGAUGUACCAGUCAAACGAGAGGUUGCCUUUGAGGGUAGCAUUGAAUUCUUCCUGGAUGCCAAAGAACGGGAAGUCACACUGGAUUCUCUGGCAGACAGCGAUGGCGCAGUUCUGGGGAACGCAGGAGGGGAGGGGACGGGGGGGCCUUCCGAAGCUCAGCCAGAAAGUCGGAGUGAAGGGGCAAGAGCUCCUUGGUGUGGCACGUACUCGAGAGGUUCUGAGGAAAGAGACGCACUGAGAAGGGGCAGAGAUGAAGGCACCAGGGCCCGUCUCUCAGGAGCCUCCUUCUCAGGACCCAGACGUCCCAGCUCCCCACCUGAUACUGAUGCUGCAUGACCUGACUGGUAUUCUCUGAGGCCGUGAAGCUGAGAUAUUUAGUGGAGACCUCAUGGCUGAAGAGAGAAAAAAGGGACAGGAGGAACCACUACUAAAGAAGAGAAGAAGAAAAGAAUCCCCAAAGACAUCAAAGAGAAAAGGAGAGGAGGAGCCAGGAGUUCUGACCUCUGAGUUUUCCGGGAAGAUGGGGUGGUUUAUGCUGCAGUUGGUGCUCUUCAAGGCCCCAGACACUUCGGUGGAGGAGGCAGACUCACAGGCCAGGCGCCAGGAUCGCUGUGAGCGCUGGCUCUGGAAGGCAGGGGAGGCAAAGGCGGUGAUAUCCACCUCCAGCCAUGAGGAUGGGGAAGCAAAGGUCAGAUAGAGCCUGAGAAGGAUGUGGCUACCUGGAGCUUUGACACCUUCCGGUAGGACAGGCCAAGUGGGAAGAAGAAGGUGACCUGUGUCCUGUAGGAGUCCUCACCAUCAUUUCUCACAGUCACUGUCACGUUGAACUCCCGGGGCCCACCCACCACGAGGCAGUCCAGGCUGUGGGAAGAAGACAGGCCGGGGGAUGGGGCGCUGGGCUUCCCUGUGGCAAGCCUGCUCCGGCAGAACAGAGACACAGGUACUUGAUGAGAGACAACAGUAGAGGGGCAGCCACACCGGACCUUAUAGCCCAGGAACACCCGGCUCCCUUGGGGGCCAGAAGGAAAACAGAGCGGGUCAUGGUACGGGUUCUUCUCUGGAGGAGGUGAGGAAGAAAGGAAACUCACCUCAUGAAACUGAAGGUGAUGCUGAGGUCAUCCUGGCAGAUGUUGUCCUUGCCACAAUUCUUCUCAAAGGGAAACUUUUAAAAAAUAAAUAUGAUCAAAUGAAAGGAAAGGAAAUAACCAAGUAUUGUGAAAUUAAACAAUAAAAUCAAAUGUUGAAGUAAAAUUAGAUGCAAUCAAAUAAAAUGAGUUUCAACCA